rnacentral:rRNA from 1 species
AUGGUCGCGGCCCCGGCCAAGGUUGGCGCCACCAUGCCGUCGCUCAACAUCGACACCACCAUGUUCAACAAGGAGAAGGUCUCCAUCGUCGGCCACGAGGAGUACAUCGUGAGGGGCGGGCAGAACUACUUCCUGAGGUGUUCAAGGGCGUCAAGAAGAUCGGAGUCAUCGGACAGGGCUCCCAAGUUCAGUCCCAGCUUCACUUUGUUCCCCUCACAAUACAGUUUGUUCCCUCACUCUCGAGAUUUAAAUGUCUCUCUACUAGAGACACUGCUUGAAUAUAAACAUCAGUCGAGUCUAUAUGUCUGUGCACUGGCUCACGGAAUAUUUUUGGAGUGCUUUCUCAAGGCCCAGAACCUGAAAGAUUAUUUGGUUCAAGCCAAGUCUGAGAUCAUCGUUAAAGUUUGUUAUUCUCAUUUGGUCAAUAAGCUGUCCUUUUGCUUUCAGAUUGGUCUCAGGAAAGGCAGACAACUAUGGGAAAUUUGCAACCACGUGGAACCAAAUAGUAUUAUUGUUUUAUCUCAUGGAUUUCUUCUUGGACAUUUGAAAUCACAUGGCCUUGAUUUUCCAAAGAACAUCAGUGUGGUUGUUGUAUGCCCAAAAAGAAUGGGCCCAUCGGUUCGAAGACUGUAUAUUCAGGGCAAAGAAAUAAAUGGUGCUGGCAUCAACGCUAGCUUUGUUGUUCGAUCACCAUGUAUGGAUGUUGAUGGAAGGGCAACUGAUGUUGCUCUUGGAUGGUCGGUUGCACUAGGAUCCCCGUUCACCUUUGCUACUACUCUAGAACAGGAGUGCAAGAGUGAUAUCUCUGGGGAAAGAGUGGGUGAGCGCAACAUGACCCUUGUUGCAAUUGUCCGUGACCGAGUUCGGCGCAGAGGAGCCAACAACAGAGAGGAUUUAUUGUGGUCACAACAUGUUGCUUCUGAAAGUGAAAUCAGGAGUGUUGUGUUGGCUGGUCGAAGGCAAGUUGAAGGUGUCCACAACAUGAUCCGUGUUGCAAUGGACUUCAAAAGGUCUUUUUCGCAAAAUGUUGAAAGCAUUCCGGGAGCUCGUAUCAUGGGAGCAUCUAAGGCUCCGUAUCACCUGAUACUCUCCCCCCAUCCUGCAAUUGUCCGUGACCAAGUCCGGUGCAGAGGAGCCAACAACAGAGGUCGCCGCACCCCAAAUCCACAGGGCCAUCCCCAUCCAGAUCCAGGCGUCGAUGCUGCGCCGCCAGCCCACCCGCAUCGACCUCCGCAGCUCCGACCGCGACGAGCUCGAGGAGCACCUCCGCUCCAAGGCCGCCGCCGCCGCCGCCGCCGAAUCCACGCCCCUCUUGACCCCGCGCCCAUCAAGCUCCGGCUCCCGGACGCGGCCGCGCACGGGCGCCUCUCCACCUUCCUCGCGCCCCGCCUGCUCCGCACCGACGCCCAGCGCAACGUCUUCUUCGACGCCGCCGCGCGGCCCCUCGCCGCCGCCACCGCCGCGCUCCGCGUCCGCCUCUACGGCCCCGACGACCGCGCCCCCUCCCGCGCCGUGCUCGCGCUCAAGCGCCGCCCGCGCAUCCACGCCGGCGUCAGCCGCGUCGAGGAGAUCGAAGAGCUCCUCGACCCGGCCCUCGCCCUCGCAUGCGUCGACGACCCCGCCCGCCUCGGCGCCGUCGACUCCCCCAUCGUCCGGCUCGUCUCCGACGAGUACGGCGUCGGCGGGGACAAAGCGCCGUUCGUCUGCCUCGGCGGCUUCCGGAACACGCGCGGCGUGUAUGAGCUCGGGGAGGGCGAGGGGCAGGGGCUCGUGCUGGAGCUCGACGAGACGCACUUCGAUUUCGGGACCAACUACGAGCUCGAGUGCGAGACCGCGGAGCCAGACCAGGCCAAGGAGGUCCUCGAGCGGCUGCUCACGGUGGCUGGGGUGCCGUAUGAGUACUCCCGGAGCAAUAAGUUCGCGUCCUUCAUGGCCGGGAAGCUGCUUCCAUGA